UACGUAGGUUGCGAGCGUUGUCCGGAAUUACUGGGCAUAAAGAGCUCGUAGGUGGUUUGUCGCGUUGUUCGUGAAAACUCACAGCUUAACUGUGGGCGUGCGGGCGAUACGGGCAGACUUGAGUACUGCAGGGGAGACUGGAAUUCCUGGUGUAGCGGUGGAAUGCGCAGAUAUCAGGAGGAACACCGGUGGCGAAGGCGGGUCUCUGGGCAGUAACUGACGCUGAGGAGCGAAAGCGUGGGGAGCGAACAGG
rnacentral:rRNA from 1 species